CAAAGAACUGCCCCGCCCCAAAUGUCAUUUGUGUGGGAGCCAAGAAACCCUGCUAUGGGGCAGUGGUCAGAGACCUUUGUCGUGCUUUGAAAGGGGCUGGGCUGGGCUGGGCAGGGCAGGGCGGGUCGUGGCCCACCUGGGGCCACAGUUCAGAGCCACACUUGGGUCUUUGAGGCUGCCCACCCUCCCAGCUGCCAGCAUGGGGUUGGGGGGUGUCCACCCCCAUCAGACUGAGGAGGAAACGGACACUGUGUCACCCAGAAGCAUCCCUAUGUCACCCUGUGAGGCUGGCCUUGGACCCAGGACUCUGGGCGCCUGGUCAGCACCCCAGUGUGAACACAUCCUGCCCUGGGGCCUGGUCCCAGCAGCUCACACAGACCAGGGCUUGCCCAAAGGCAGGUAGGCAGGGCCACUGCUGACCAUGCACCUGGUGGGCCGUGAUUCUGGAACUAAUGGUCUCUGCCUGGCAGGGAGGCCGCCAGGGCCUCUGGGCUUCACCCCUCCCAACCUUCACAGGGGACCUCACCUCAGUGGGAAUGUUCUGGAGCCGGAACCCAAGGUUGGAAUCCCAGCUCCUCCCCUUUCUAGGGCAAGCUCCCAGCCUGUCUGUACUCAGUCUCCCCAACUGUCAAAUGGUAAUAAAACAGUCCUGUCCUCACUGAGUUGUUUGGAUGGGUGAGCAUCAGGUGUCUAGGGCACAGCAUGCUGUGAAGGAGUUAGGAGGGCCAGGUGAAGGAGCCAUGCAGGGCCGGGCCUCCUGGGUAAUGGGGCUAAGAGGAGAAUUCUGUAUGUGGUUCUGAGAAGGAGCAGAGUCCAGCUCUUUUGGAUGUUUGUAUUAGGAAAUUUACUAGAGACCAUGUCACUGCUCCACUCGGAAUCCUCGGGUGGCUUCCCAGUGCCCUUGACAUGGAAUCAAACUCCUCGCUUGGCCAUGCAAUCCGGGCCUGGUAUCCUGGCCCCCUCCCCAGUCCACUGUGGUUGGCUGUGCUGGCCUCGGGGAUCCCAGGCCCUCCACCCUCAUGCCCCACUGAGCACUUGCACCUGUGUCCCACCUCCAGCCCUCACCAGCUGUCCUCCAGCUCUCAUCUGUGAUGCAUCCGCCAGACCUCUGCUCCCAGCCUGCCCUCUCUAAUCUAUAAUCUCAUUUUAUUCUCUGUGUGAGCAUUCAGACUGAUGCUGCCCUGUGCCCGUGCCUGUCAUCAUCCCAGCACACGUGCAGUGUCCCAUAAAUACUGCAGAAUGACUGAGUGAUCAGACCUAGAGAGCCCCAGCCCUGGGUCCACCCUCACUGUGCCUGCACGCGGUGCCAGAGGAGGGCCUGGCCAGGGGCCAGCUCUGCACACUCCAGUCCCGGGGCUCGGCCUUUCCCCUAACCAGUGAGUGUGGGCGUCAGUUCGGGCUGCUGUAGAAGAGACCACCAAUCCAGGGCCUAAUCAAUGGAAACUCGUCUCCUGGUUCUGGGAGCUGGAAAUCUGAGGUCAGAUGUGGGCAGAGCUGUUUCCACAUGAGGGCUGUGAGGGUCUGUCCUGACCUCUCUUCUGGCAUCUGGUGGCUGCUGGUGACCUCUGGCCUUCCUUGGCUUGCAGGGAGACCCCGUCUCUGCCUCAUGCCCUCUUGGCAUUCCCACUGUGAGUCUGUCUCUCCAUGUGGUGUUCUUUGUAUGAGGACAGCAUUCCUCCUAAAUUAGGGGCCCGCCCACCCCAGUGCUACCACAUCCUAAUUAAUUACAACACAGCAAUCUGGUCUCCAAGCAAGGGCAUGCCAUUAGACUCUGGAGAUUAGGGCUUCAGCAUACGAAUUGGGGAGUGGGGGCACAAUUCAGCACAUAAUUGUGGGGCUUUUCUGAUGUGUUUUCUUUUCCGAGCUCCCCUCAGCCCCGUUCACUGUAACCGACGGCUUCACCUGCUCCCUGGGAACACUCAGCAGCCCGUGCUGUGCUCCCAAUCUCCUGGGUGUGUGUGGGGUGUGGGGCAGCUCCCCUAUCUCAGUGCUCCCUGCUGCUCCCCCCUGAUGCCUCACACGGGUCCUGCCCACUGCCUGUGUCUGGCUAACCAGCUUUCUUUUGGGGAAACACCCAGUGAUGGUGGUGGGGUGGUGACAGGAGCCUGUGCGUGGUCUACGGGGCUCUGUGUGGAUGUCCUCAUCUGACUGUCCAGCACUCAACCAAAGUGGUGCUGUAUGGGGGGAAGGCAGGGCCACACAGGAUUCAUACCCGGCCAGUGUGCCUGCUGGUCCCUGGGACUCUGCGGCCUCCCCAGUGCCCACGGUGCUCUGAGUAUGAGGCACCUGUGCCUGGCCAGAGGCUCGCUCUAGAACCCAGGGUGGCACCGACACUGGGCACCAUGGCUUCACACAGAGCACCCUGACUUCAUCAGUGCUGCCUUGCUGACUCUGUCUUCUCUUCUUGAGGACUGACACCUGGCCUCACACUCUGGAGGACCCUCUCCAGGCCCUCCUGACCCACCCCUGGUGACCCCUAACCCUCUUUAGCUGACCCUGGCCUGUGUCCUCACCUGUGCCUGCCUGCCAUCACCCUCUCUCAUUGCCUGUGCCCCAGACAGUUCCACAGCUUCCAUCAGAAAUGGUCCAGUAUCCCAUGCCAUCCUGCCCUGCUAGGAAGAGGGGCUGCUGCCAGACCAAUUCUUACUGUAGCAUCCAGGACAGAAACAGCAGGCGUGAGCUGCCUCUCAGAGGGACCUUGGGUGCCUUAUCAGGAAGCCUGGCUUUGAGAGUGGAUGUCAGGCCCUGGGUGAGGUGGAGGGAAUUGGCAGGUCCACUGUGGGCCUGGUGGAGAAGAAGGACAAAGGCCAGCCUCUUUUGUGUGGCAGGGUUUGUGGCAUCAUCAUCCCCUGGAACUAUCCCCUGAUGAUGCUGUCCUGGAAGACAGCUGCCUGCCUGGCUGCCGGGAACACAGUGGUGAUCAAGCCUGCUCAGGUGACCCCACUCACAGCCUUGAAGUUUGCAGAGCUGACAUUAAAGGCCGGCAUUCCCAAAGGUGUGGUUAACGUCCUCCCAGGAUCUGUGCUCCUUGCUUUUUCCUGUGGAUUCUGACUACUG
rnacentral:lncRNA from 1 species